UGGGGAAUAUUGGACAAUGGGCGCAAGCCUGAUCCAGCCAUGCCGCGUGAGUGAUGAAGGCCCUAGGGUUGUAAAGCUCUUUCACCGGUGAAGAUAAUGACGGUAACCGGAGAAGAAGCCCCGGCUAACUUCGUGCCAGCAGCCGCGGUAAUACGAAGGGGGCUAGCGUUGUUCGGAUUUACUGGGCGUAAAGCGCACGUAGGCGGACUAUUAAGUCAGGGGUGAAAUCCCGGGGCUCAACCCCGGAACUGCCUUUGAUACUGGUAGUCUUGAGUUCGAGAGAGGUGAGUGGAAUUCCGAGUGUAGAGGUGAAAUUCGUAGAUAUUCGGAGGAACACCAGUGGCGAAGGCGGCUCACUGGCUCGAUACUGACGCUGAUGUGCGAAAGCGUGGGGAUCAAACAGG
rnacentral:rRNA from 1 species